CAGGGAGACAACAAAAUGUUUAAUAUUAUUAUUUUGUCACCUUAGGCCGAUCGGUAUCUCACAUUCUUAAUUUAUUUAAGGAUUUCAUUUCCUAAGUUUUUCUAGGUCACACCCAUUAUUUUUCCUGGGCCAUUAGCUCAGGUGGUUAGAGCGCACCCCUGAUAAGGGUGAGGUCCCUGGUUCAAGUCCAGGAUGGCCCAUCUCUAUGUUGGGGGUAUAGCUCAGUUGGUAGAGCGCCUGCUUUGCAAGCAGGAUGUCAGCGGUUCGAGUCCGCUUACCUCCACUGAUUACCACCUCUUCCAUAAUCUAUAGAAAGGAAAUGUUUUGAGUUGUGAUCAAAUUCUGAACGAUUUCAGCUUCCUAAUGUAAUUAUUUAAGAUGCUGGACUCAUUGAAUUAAAUUCAUUGUUUUCAGAGAACCUUGACAACUGCAUAGAUUAUUUUUAAAGACAAUAAGCAUCUUUAAUGAUGCAGAUUUAUUAUUUGUGCGAAUGCAUUAAUAACAAUUCUAUUAAGCUGAUGCUUCAA
rnacentral:tRNA from 1 species